CUGCCCAGAAUGGUGCUGACUACGU
rnacentral:miRNA from 1 species